rnacentral:tRNA from 1 species
GCCUAGGUAAAUGGUCUCCACCGAAAGUGGCUUGCAGAGCUAAGAUCAGUUCGAAUUCGCCAGCGCCCAAAGACCACUUGGUAAGGAAAAGGUCCCCGGUUCGAAUCCGGGCGUGGGCUCCA